rnacentral:rRNA from 1 species
UACGUAGGGGGCAAGCGUUGUCCGGAUUUAUUGGGCGUAAAGAGCGUGUAGGCGGCCAUUCAGGUCAGCUGUGAAAACUCGAGGCUCAACCUCGAGACGUCGGUUGAAACCGUAUGGCUAGAGUCCGGAAGAGGAGAGUGGAAUUCCCGGUGUAGCGGUGAAAUGCGUAGAUAUCGGGAAGAACACCCGUGGCGAAGGCGGCUCUCUGGGACGGUACUGACGCUGAGACGCGAAAGCGUGGGGAGCGAACAGG